rnacentral:tRNA from 1 species
ACUUUGAUAUCUCAACGGUAGAGCAACCGGCUGUUAACCGGUACGUUGUAGGUGCGAAUCCUAUUCGAAGAGCCA